ACAAAUGCUACAUAUUAUACAAUAUACAGUGCUAACACUACUUAUCUAGCCCACAUGCAACAGUAAUAUAUAUAUAUUUUAAGGGCACUGAAACGUGAAGGAGUCUGUCAAAAGAAACAAAGACCUGGAAAAUAUCAGUGUUUGUCUUCAUCUGGGGCUGCCAAUGCCCUCACUUUUAUCUCCCACAGUUACUGACAAAAUCUUGUUGCUUUGAAAGUCAUAUCUCCCAGCUGCUGGCUGGCACCUUCACGGCUCCAGGGGAAUGCAGGUGUCUUGCAAGGUCUUCAGUAGAGGAAGAUGGUUUUCUUCACCAGGAUAAGACUCUUGAACUUGUCUCAGUGUUCAGUGGCAAGCCACUGAUGAACAUGGAGCGUGGGGAGAAGUACUCAUGGCAACCUGGGUUGCUAGGCAGAUGGAUUAUUGUGUUUUGUUCCUGCCACAGUGUUCUCAGAGAUCCUGGCUUCAUUUCUAGAUAGAAUCAAUGGUAAUAAAGUCUGAAGGUUAAAAUA